GAAAGCGAUGCGCGCGCCAUAAGCCGUCGCCUGGCGUGGCGUCGCGAAUUCCAUUCCCUCGUCGUCUACUGACACGAAGUUGCCGUCUCGUAUAUGAAAGAAAUAGCGUCUCGGCAUCGUCGCCCUUCUUGAGCCUGCUGUAACAUCUGUUCGCGCGCACGUGGUGUAAGAUGACAACUUGGGAGUCAAAUUUCCAGCCAACUGAACGGCCGAUAGGGCUGCUAUGCAACUGUCCAAUCUGACAGGAUUGUUUGUUGCGGGGUC
rnacentral:misc_RNA from 1 species